rnacentral:rRNA from 2 species
GAGUAGGAAGGACGCACCGGUGGCUGAGAAGGUGUCCGAGGAAACUCGGCCUGGAGCCGCCGGUGAUGCAGAUCUUGGUGGUAGUAGCAAAUACUCAAGUGAGACCCUUGAGGACCAAUGUGGAGAAGGGUUCCAUGUGAACAGCAGUUGAACAUGGGUCAGUCGGUCCUAAGGCAUGCGGGGAAACCCGAUCCAAAGUCCCGGAGGAACUAACGUAAAUCUGGGGUCCGCGGUGUAUGCCGAAAGGGAAUCAGGUUAAUAUUCCUGAACCUAGUCACGGAGAUAGCCUCUUAAUUGAGGCCAGUGCGGUAACGCAAACGAGCUCGGAGAAGUCGGUGGGAGCCCUGGGGAGAGUUGUCUUUUCUUUGUAAGGUCUUGAUUCCCUGGAAUCGGUUUAACCGGAGAUAGGGAGGAAAAGACCGUAAAGCACUGCGGCUCUUGCAGUGUCCAGAGUGCUCUCGUCGGCCCGUGAAAAUCCGAGUGAGGUGGUGUUAUUUUCUUGCUAGACCGUACAGAUAUCCGCAGCUGG